rnacentral:misc_RNA from 1 species
UGCAUAAUGAAAUUUAUGAAUAUAUCCACAGUCUGAUUUUUUAUUCAUCUCUAUGAUGUUGCAAUUUUUUUAAAGAAUUUGCUCUUUCUUGGUGCUUAAAUCAUAAUAAUUAUUACCACACAAUGUUUGGAGUUUUUGUUUUUUCACUUAUUCUCUCAAGUACUUGUGGUUUUUCUUAUUGCAGAAACAUGAGUAAUUGAAGCUUGUAAUUCUUCUAACGUUCUCCCCUUGGUCUCUGGCACCACCUUUGCAAUGAACACAACAGCUGCUCCACAAAGUCCAAAGAGUAUGAAAAAUGUUCCCGUUGCGCUCCAUUCUAUCAUAAAACUGAAAGUAAAUGUAACAAUCCAGGAACAUAUCCAUUUGAUUAAAGUCACCAGACUUCCAGCUGUACCCUUGAUGUUUAUAGGAAAUAUCUCAGAAAUUACAACCCAUGGUAAUCCUAGCAUGCCCACAGAUAUAGCCACGCUAUAGCCCUGUUAAUGGCAUAUUACAGGAUAGGUAAGUCUAUUAAAGCUCAGCUUAAUGGAACACCAUUCAAACAAUUGGCAGGUACCUCAUUCUUGUUUCUUUUCAGAUUGAACUUGAGUUGAAAAUAUGUGCAAAAUAUUUCAAAUCAUACUGUACUAGUGAGACUGGCCUAAGAAAUAAAGUAUUUUAAGUGCAUCAAAAUUUAAAAUAUUAUUCUAAGAAGAUUAGCUCACAUUAGAACUCAUAUUUAACUGGUUGCUUGAGCACAUGCAAAUGAGAAAAAUUUGUGAGAAAGGAAACAUAAAUAUUUUAAGGCUUCUUCAAAACAAGGGGAAUUUUAAAUUUGAGAAGCAAUUACCAAUAUACCAAUAUAGACCAAAAUGGGAGUGAUCCCUGUCAACUUGUGAAGGUCCUGGCCGUAAUAAACUUUAGACUUUCAGAGAUUGGCCAUCAUAAGCAUAAAAAACAAAACCCUAAGAAAAAAUAUUGAAGUAUCAACAUCUGAUUUGUUCACAAACCUGCAAGCAGAAUGCUAUUCCUAUGAGAAAGCAACUUAAGCACAUGCCAAAGGCAGAAACCAUGAGAAGUGGCCUCCUUCCACAUUUAUCUGUUAAGAGAACAGAAACAGCAGCAGCUGGAGUCUGCAAAGAGAAGGACUAGUCCAAUGAGAAAUGCAUAAAGAUGAAUCUUGCAUCCACUAGUUAAAACAGCACAUACCUGGAUAAUAGCAAUUGAUAUUAGCCCAACAUUACUGGAGAAAUCUGUCAUCAACUAGAUAAAUUAUUAUUUCUUCAAUUUCAUAUAUGGUUAAAUGCACACCACAAUACUCAAAGCCCUUAAUUUACCAGCUUUUUCAAAAAUGGAGCUAGCAUAAUAUGCAAUUGCAUUGAUCCCUCCAAACUGUUGAAAUAGAAGUAUCCCAAUACUGACCUGAACCAAGUAGAUAAUCCAUAUAAUUUUAGAUUAGUGCUGAAGAGAUUUGCCAUACAUGAGAUUUUAGUUGUAAGGCUCACAAUAAGAAUAUAAGCAUAUCUCCACUGGAAUAAUUCUAGUAUUCUAGUUUCAGAAUGCCCCUGAAAAUUCUUGGUAUAGUCCUGUACGAAAAAUGGAAAUCCAUCUCAUUUUCUGAUUUUAUGCCAAUGAUAGAUAAAUCCAAGUGAGAAAGGGGAAAGACAUCCUUUGAGUUCAAGUUUAACAUGAAGUUGGAAGUUUACUCUAAUAUCAGCUGCUUCCUGAGAAAUAUCAGCAUUCUUUCCCCUGAGGUGCUGCAGAGUCACUUCUAACUCUUUUUCGUGACCAACUUUUGCCUGUAGACAUUUAUACUCUAAAAAGAGGGAUAAAAGAGUAUUGAUGUGUUUUCAACACUGAUUUGUGCUAUAGGAUAAGCAAAAAUGCUAAGGACAAAACACAAAAGGAUUCUUUCCAGUUUACCUACAUAUCAAGAAAAAAGGAAGAAAGAAAAGACUCACCAACCAUCUAGGAGACUCUGGGAUGAAGAAAACACCUAUAGUUUGCAAUGCACAUGGAAAAGCCCCUUAAAAUUCAACCAAAUAGAAGUAAGUAAGUUCAAUAAUUUUGGAUAUGAGAAUCAGUUUAUUAACAGGGGCAAGGAGAUGUUACCAAUCAGAGCCAAGGUGCGCCAGGAAACAACAGUUCCAAUGAAAUAUAUUAGUGAAAGUCCACAACCUGCCAUGAACUGCUCACUUGUCGAAAAAUAGAUGCAAAAAGAAUGAGUUGAUAGAAUACAAUAAUUCAAUUCAAUCCAGGGUGGCACGCCUUUACCUGACUAGCAGAUGUAAGUCCCCCACGAAUGUUUUUAGGUGUUAUUUCUGCAAUGUACACUGGUACCUGUUUGGUAAGAAGAAUGCAAAUGUGUAGCAACAAAUAAAAAGCAUUGAACACGUGCAUAAGUUUUUGCUGGGGUAAAUGUAUUGCACAAGUAAUUUAAUUUGAUAUAAAUGCAAAGAUAACAUAAUUACCACAAAAAGUGUAAUCCCAUGUCCGAUCCCUAUUAAAAGUCUUCCAAGAUCCAGCAACCAGGCACCCUGUGCAAAUGCUAUUGCAAGCCACCCAAUGAUGAAGAAAAAUUCAGACACCCACAUUGUAUAUCUUCGACCAAUGAGAUCAGCCAUCGUUCCAUUUAUUAAUGAACCUAGCAUUCCUCCAAUUGUAACAACAGAACCAAAGAUGGAGUAAGCGGCCACAGACAUGCCCAGGUCUUCCAUGAUUCCGGACCGAGCAGGUGAUGAAUACCCUGUAGAACACCCAACAGCAAAGGAACCACAGAUGGCGACUAUGGUGCUGAGAACCACAGCAGGAGUGGCCAAAGAAUCGCUGGAUGGGGGGAGGUCGUGAAUGCCAUGAGCAUUGGGCUGAGAUCUUGGAUGUAGCAGUAGCUCUUGUCUUUCCUCCAUAGUUUCUGUGUCCGUAUUUCAUUAUUGAAGAAGGAGAAAAUUUUGCACGAGCCAGGAG